rnacentral:misc_RNA from 1 species
AAGGAGUCUAACAUCUAUGCGAGUGUUUGGGUGUCCAGCCCGAGCGCGUAAUGAAAGUGAACGGAGGUGGGAACCCGCAAGGGUGCGCCAUCGACCGAUCAUGAUGUCUUCGGAAGGAUUUGAGUUAGAGCAUGGCUGUUGGGACCCGAAAGAUGGUGAAAUAUGCUUGAAUAGGGUGAAGCCAGAGGAAACUCUGGUGGAGGCUCGCAGCGGUUCUGACGUGCAAAUCGAUCGUCAAAUUUGGGCAUAGGGGCGAAAGACUAAUCGAACUAUCUAGUAGCUGGUUCCUGC